UUCUAAGGGCGGUGAAGUCAGACCGGAAGGACUGGUGGAGCGCUUAGAAGUGAGAAUGCCGGUAUGAGUAGCGAAAGAAGGGUGAGAAUCCCUUCCACCGAAUAUCUAAGGUUUCCUGAGGAAGGCUCGUCCGCUCAGGGUUAGUCGGGACCUAAGCCGAGGCCGAUAGGCGUAGGCGAUGGACAACAGGUAGAGAUUCCUGUACCAGUGCUAAUUGUUUAACCGAUGGGGUGACACAGAAGGAUAGGGAAUCGCACGAAUGGAAAUGUGCGUCCAAGCAGUGAGUGUGAGAAGUAGGCAAAUCCGCUUCUCGCGAAGCAUGAGCUGUGAUGGGGAAGGAAAUUAAGUACGGAAGUUCCUGAUUUCACGCUGUCAAGAAAAGCCUCUAGGAAGAGUAGUACUGCCCGUACCGCAAACCGACACAGGUAGAUGAGGAGAGAAUCCUAAGGUGAGCGAGAGAACUCUCGUUAAGGAACUCGGCAAAAUGACCCCGUAACUUCGGGAGAAGGGGUGCUCUAUUAGGGUGCAAGCCCGAGAGAGCCGCAGUGAAUAGGCCCAGGCGACUGUUUAGCAAAAACACAGGUCUCUGCAAAACCGUAAGGUGACGUAUAGGGGCUGACGCCUGCCCGGUGCUGGAAGGUUAAGAGGAGUGCUUAGCUUCGGCGAAGGUACGAAUUGAAGCCCCAGUAAACGGCGGCCGUAACUAUAACGGUCCUAAGGUAGCGAAAUUCCUUGUCGGGUAAGUUCCGACCCGCACGAAAGGCGCAACGAUCUGGGCACUGUCUCAACGAGAGACUCGGUGAAAUUAUAGUACCUGUGAAGAUGCAGGUUACCCGCGACAGGACGGAAAGACCCCGUGGAGCUUUACUGCAACCUGAUAUGGAAUGUUUGUACCGCUUGUACAGGAUAGGUAGGAGCCGAAGAGACGUGUGCGCUAGCAUACGAGGAGGCAAUGGUGGGAUACUACCCUGGCUGUAUGACCAUUCUAACCCGCCACGCUUAGCGCGUGGGGAGACAGUGUCAGGUGGGCAGUUUGACUGGGGCGGUCGCCU
rnacentral:rRNA from 1 species